rnacentral:rRNA from 1 species
UAAAAAAAGGUAAGCUACUAAGAGCGAAUGGUGGAUGCCUUGACUGGUAAAGGCGAUGAAGGACGUACUAGACUGCGAUAAGCUACGGGGAGCUGUCAAGAAGCUUUGAUCCGUAGAUUUCCGAAUGGGGCAACCCAAUGUAUAGAGAUAUACAUUACCUAUAUAGGAGCGAACGAGGGGAAUUGAAACAUCUUAGUACCCUCAGGAAAAGAAAUCAAUAGAGAUUGC